rnacentral:RNase_P_RNA from 1 species
GCGAGUUGGUGUGUGGCUUUCGAGCCUUACGCGAUAGGCUUGAGGAAACUCCGCCCACAUGUAGAAUUGCAACAUCCGCAAGGGUGUAAGGUGAGAGCCUUGGCUCCGGAGCAGAAACGAAACGUCCAUUCAGCAAGAGCCGAUGAUACAUGCUAAGUUGUUGAGAAUGCUGGGUGCGAAGCGGUGAAACGGCCGUCCUGCAAGUGGAAAGGGCAAACAGACGCCUGUGAGGAAUCUACCUAAGGCGCGGGUAGCCCGAUUAGCCGAAUGCCACAAAGAACAAAAGGCGGGUUACGACCAACACAC